GCGAAGGGUACGCCGCCGAAUGCUGCUAUUCCAGAAUCGGCGAGGGCCAUCGCCGAGGUCAGGAGUCGUCUGCCCUUCACCGCUCGACGCCGUCGACGCUGCUGCCCCCGCGAGUCGCCGCCCAGACGUCGUUUCUCGGCCUGACUAAGCAGGGCAGCGCCCCUCUUUUCUAAAAGCUAAGUUCUCCUCUACCCUACUGUAAAGCUUGAUUUUCCUUAUUGUGCUUAGUUUGUUGAGUUGCUCGAGUUCUACCCACUAAUUCUUACAUAAAAAAAAAUGUAACUGGUGUUCUGCAUUAUGAAGUGUAACUUGGCUAUGUUCAUUAUGCUUAUAUAGGUCUUCUAUCAUUUGAAUCUGAUCAUGUUUGAUGGUAUGAAUGCAAACACUGGAUUGAAUAAUAGGAUAGCAUGAUUACCUCGAAUGUUUUUGAACUGAUUGCUUGCUGUUGGAGUUGAAAGAAAUGUGUAAUAACUUGAAGUAUAACUGUUGGUUGGCUGCUAUGGCUGGAUGAGAUGGAAGGAUUCUGAAAUAAAUCAUAUUCGUUCCUUUCAAUAAAUGCAGGUUGCAAAUGGAAGAAGAUGAGAAAUUAAAGCCAAUGUUUACCUUAAAGUUUCUGGACUGGAAUGACUAGAAGUUGGCAGACUGAAUGAAGGAAGAUCUGUUAUUCUGAAAAUUUCUAAGUGUAGAAUGAGGAGAAUGCAGUGUUUUGUUGGCUGUGGUUCGAUGUUGGCUGGAAGGCAAAGGGUUGGUGCACUUGAGUGUGCUAAUGGAUGGUAGUAGGGUGUAGGGAAAAGGGGAUUGGAGGGGUGGGGCGGCUGGCAUAGGGGAGAGUGAAGGGUGCUGCAGAUUUUUGCACACAUAUUCACUUAUCCUUUCUUUGUACUCAACAUUCUCAUGCUUAGGUAGAUGUUAGGAUUGUAAUAGCUAGGUAGGUUGUGGUGCAAAUAAAUAAAACCCCUUUGUCUUGGUAAUUCCAAAUCUAUAAUAAUGUAUCACUUGUUCAAUGAAAUACUAGUUCCGGG
rnacentral:lncRNA from 1 species